AGAACGACUCUCGGCAACGGAUAUCUCGGCUCUCGCAUCGAUGAAGAACGUAGCAAAAUGCGAUACUUGGUGUGAAUUGCAGAAUCCCGCGAACCAUCGAGUUUUUGAACGCAAGUUGCGCCCGAAGCCAUUAGGUUGAGGGCACGUCUGCCUGGGCGUCUCGC
rnacentral:rRNA from 1 species